CAAACUGUAGAUAAGGUUCAAGUCUGCUGCAGAUGUCUUAUCUGGGACUGAAGCCAUAUGAGCUGUAACACCAAGGCCCGCCCAUCUCUUCUGAGCCCGGAGAUGAGACCCAAACCAUUAUUUCUCUGGAAUCAAUGCUAGUAUCAAAGUGAUGGAGAAGAUGAACUUUGGAGAGAAUAACUUUGUGCCCAAGAUCACCUGCCUACUCAGUAAGGAAGAUGAGACUUGACCCAGGUUUAUCUGACCCCAGAUUUAUGUUCUCUCUCACUAUAUUCAGAGAGUUUGACUCAGAACAGCCAUGGAUGGUGAUUUUUCUAGUCUUCCUCAUUACCGGGACUGGUGAUAAAAAUUUGUGGCGUACUCAUUGUAUGCUAAGUACAGUUACGGAAGAUAUAAAGAUAAAUAAAA